UACGUAGGGGGCAAGCGUUGUCCGGAAUCAUUGGGCGUAAAGCGCGUGUAGGCGGCUCGGUAAGUCUGCUGUGAAAGUCCAGGGCUCAACCCUGGGAUGCCGGUGGAUACUGUCGAGCUCGAGUCCGGAAGAGGCGAGUGGAAUUCCUGGUGUAGCGGUGAAAUGCGCAGAUAUCAGGAGGAACACCAAUGGCGAAGGCAGCUCGCUGGGACGUGACUGACGCUGAGACGCGAAAGUGUGGG
rnacentral:rRNA from 1 species